rnacentral:rRNA from 1 species
GGACGGAGAAGAACAACAGGGAUUGCCCUAGUAACGGCGAGUGAAGCGGCAACAGCUCAAAUUUGAAAUCUGGCUCUCGGGCCCGAGUUGUAAUUUGUAGAGGAUGCUUUUGAUGCGGUGCCUUCCGAGUUCCCUGGAACGGGACGCCAUAGAGGGUGAGAGCCCCGUCUGGUUGGAUGCCAAAUCUCUGUAAAGCUCCUUCAACGAGUCGAGUAGUUUGGGAAUGCUGCUCUAAAUGGGAGGUAUAUGUCUUCUAAAGCUAAAUACCGGCCAGAGACCGAUAGCGCACAAGUAGAGUGAUCGAAAGAUGAAAAGCACUUUGAAAAGAGAGUUAAAAAGUACGUGAAAUUGUUGAAAGGGAAGCGUUUAUGACCAGACUUGGGCUUGGUUAAUCAUCUGGGGUUCUCCCCAGUGCACUUUUCCAGUCCAGGCCAGCAUCAGUUUUCCCCGGGGGAUAAAGGCGGCGGGAAUGUGGCUCUCUUCGGGGAGUGUUAUAGCCCGCCGUGUAAUACCCUGGGGGGGACUGAGGUUCGCGCAUCUGCAAGGAUGCUGGCGUAAUGGUCAUCAACGACCCGUCUUGAAACACGGACCAAGGAGUCGUCUUCGUAUGCGAGUGUUCGGGUGUCAAACCCCUACGCGUAAUGAAAGUGAACGCAGGUGAGAGCUUCGGCGCAUCAUCGACCGAUCCUGAUGUUCUCGGAUGGAUUUGAGUAAGAGCAUACGGGGCCGGACCCGAAAGAAGGUGAACUAUGCCUGUAUAGGGUGAAGCCAGAGGAAACUCUGGUGGAGGCUCGCAGCGGUUCUGACGUGCAAAUCGAUCGUCAAAUAUGGGCAUGGGGGCGAAAGACUAAUCGAACCUUCUAGUAGCUGGUUUCCGCCGAGUUCCCUCAGGAAAAAAAAAAAA